rnacentral:lncRNA from 10 species
CCAGCUCACACUCUGUGGAGCUCAGAUGCACCAGUCUGAACUCCCUCGAGGCAGAGAGCCCUGGCCUCUGCACUUGCACACUGACUCACGCAGAGCCUGGGGCUGCCUGGGCCUGAUGGAGCUGGCAGGCAGGGACUGUCUUUUUCCUGGAGGACUUCCUGGUGGAGGCCUGCUGCAGUUGGAGGCCUGAAGCACAGCGGACAGCCCCAGGCGUGUGUGGCACACCCAACACCCCCAUCCUUCCCAUGAGCCAGGACAUGGCCCGGGGGGCCUCUCUCCGAGGGAAGUGUGCCACCAUCAGGACGUGGGGUUCAGGAAGCAGCCCAGGCUGAAUGGAGGAGAAUGGAGGCAGGAAGGCCAGGAAGAAGUUGAAGCUGCCUUCCCAGCGACAGGUGAGGCUGGGGGCUCGGCUGAGCCGCACCAGAGGAUCGCGCAGGGCCUGGGGGCUGUCCACCUAGGCAUGGAGAACAGGCCCGGAGGAGAGGGCCACAAGCCCAGCAGUGAGUUUAGGAGCCCUAGAGCCCAGAGCCACCGUCCCAGGCCAGAGCUGAGCACCUGCUGGGAUUUGUGCCUGCUGGAAGAUGCCCUCCUCAGAUCCCCUCACCCCUGUCCCAGGGCCUACCACCCCAUCACCCACACUGAGCCAUGAGGGGUCAGAACAGACAUGGGCUGUGGUCCGGCAGCUGCCCGCACCCCUAUGCACAGAGCCAC